AGGCCACAUGCCAGCAUCGAGCAAAGGCACCAUCCGGGUGCACUGUGACUCACCCCAACCCUCAGGAGAGAACACAAUGAAGUAGGCUACUCUUUUAGCAAAUACAGUACUUCACCUCUCCUCCAGAAUCUGUCUUCCCUUUUUUCUUUGACAAAACAAUGCGACUCGCUCCAGCAGUGCUCCCUGGCCUCACAGCAAUAUAAACGACAGAGGACAAAAAGAAACAACUGGAAUCACAAGUUAGUUCUGGUGGCUAUUUCUGGAUCUCAAGGCUACUGUUUCUUUAAUUACUUUAAACACUUCCAUGAGAAGACUGGCAUCCCUGUGAUCCCCCUCCGGCCCACCGCUCUCAUUCAAACCUCCUUAGGUCUUGGUCGACACUCUGUGCCUGACCCCACAUUAAACUAAGUAGACGACGACGUGAGUGGCAGCUGCUGGGAGACAGAAGUAUUGAUCGCACGACCGCAAGUUGUCGAUUGAGACCCCUACCAGGUUGAUGAGGUAAUUGGCAAUCUUGCAGCUCCGUGCGUAGGAUUGGACAGAUUAAAAAAAAAUACUCAAAUUAGAUUUUGCUUUAUUCAGUUAUUUAACAAUUUUGGUAACUGUCUUUUUUCAGCAUUUUGUAAAUCAAAAGGGAACGCUGUAGUGAACAUAUUUAUAUGCUACAGUAUUAUGUUUCAUUCUGUCGGGCUCAUAAUGUAUAUAACUUUAUUUUUUCUCUCAGUACUCUCCAGUUUAUUUGCACAUAACCAUACUGAAUUCUCAUGUCGAUGUGUCGAAAUGUUUUUUGAUUGAAUCCUGCCAAAAUCAACCUCAAAUGGCAGCUUAACUAAACCUGUCCCUGAGGCAGAAGUAAAAACAAAAAGGGAGUCAUAGCCAUUCAUCUUCACAGAAAUAAAACGAAAAAACAAGAAAUAGUCUGAUAACUAACGACUUGAAAUGAGGAUGCGUUUAUGUCUUCUUCAAUAAUGUGAGUACCACCCGGAGAAAUCUGGAAAAUGGUUUCACAGCAGAGGGGCUUGAUAAUUAAAGGCUUGCCUCUAUGUCAGGUUCUGGACCGAACCAAAUAAUGUUUUAGGAUCGCACAACUGCAGGCUCAGACAAACUGUGAUCACAAAAAGAUUUAAUUUCAGAAAAGUGCACCGACAAAGUACAAACAGAAAUCGCUGUCACAUGGAGGCAGGGGAAACAAUGCAUAAACAAAAGCCCUU